rnacentral:rRNA from 1 species
AUUGAACGCUGGCGGCAGGCCUAACACAUGCAAGUCGAGCGGAUGAAGGGAGCUUGCUCCUGGAUUCAGCGGCGGACGGGUGAGUAAUGCCUAGGAAUCUGCCUGGUAGUGGGGGAUAACGUCCGGAAACGGGCGCUAAUACCGCAUACGUCCUGAGGGAGAAAGUGGGGGAUCUUCGGACCUCACGCUAUCAGAUGAGCCUAGGUCGGAUUAGCUAGUUGGUGGGGUAAAGGCCUACCAAGGCGACGAUCCGUAACUGGUCUGAGAGGAUGAUCAGUCACACUGGAACUGAGACACGGUCCAGACUCCUACGGGAGGCAGCAGUGGGGAAUAUUGGACAAUGGGCGAAAGCCUGAUCCAGCCAUGCCGCGUGUGUGAAGAAGGUCCUCGGAUUGUAAAGCACUUUAAGUUGGGAGGAAGGGCAGUAAGUUAAUACCUUGCUGUUUUGACGUUAUCAACAGAAUAAGCACCGGCUAACUUCGUG